rnacentral:tRNA from 1 species
GGCAAGGUGGCCUAGUGGAAAGAACAUAGGACUGGAAAUCAGAAGACCUGGAUUCCAAUUCUAGUUUUGCCA